rnacentral:tRNA from 1 species
CGGGGUAUAGCUCAGCCUGGUAGAGCGCCUGCUUUGGGAGCAGGAAGUCGGGGGUUCGAAUCCCUCUGCCCCGACCA